GGAGGAGGAGGUGCAUGUGGCGCAGGAGGAGGACGAGGAGGUGCAGGAGGAGGACGAGGCGCAGCAGACCGCCUCUGGUUCUGGUGCCUCUGGUUCGUCGAGCGUCUACUUGCGAGGUCCCGCCAGUCUCCCUAAGCGACCGAUACCUCGUGAGAGGCGCCCGUUGAUUCGACCCGAAGGGGAAAAGUCCUGGACGAUUGUGCAGAGUGCAGGUGCUGCUCACAAACGCUCCGUCAAUGGCAUCCUCGGUCUUCUGUGCAGGGAACACUUCCCUGGCCUGGUUGAGUACGGUGGAGUGACGGAGCCGGCCUAUACGUUCGACCACUACGUCGCCGCCCCUGAUGCUGAAGAUCGGGAUGGCAGAGUAUUCAACAACAAGGCGGAACGGG